rnacentral:ncRNA from 2 species
UACGUCUCACGUGACUGGCGAAAAGUUGGCAUGAUCGGCACACAGUGCACCGGAUCUGCCGGCGAAAGGUGGGCACCCACCGGGGAACGUGAGAUUUCAUCAGCCGUUCGCCUGGGCAGCCAAC